GGGAGGGGGCGGCCGGGAAAGCACGUGAGGGCAGCAGGGCCGGAACCGGGCCUCCUCCCUUCUUCGGAAGCCUGGCCGGGAGGGGAGGACCGCUAGGUGGGAAUGGGCCACAGAGCCAGUGGACAGUGCCCAGAUGGGCCUCUGAGAGCAGGGCAGAGCUGACUCGGAACAGAGGGAGAGCCGGAGCUGGGUCCAGCCGGGUGCCAGAUCUCAAAGUGGAAGGGCCUGUGAACGGCAGACACGGAGAGCGCAGACACCCGCUGAGGCCCACGGCCAGCCAGCUGCAGCAUCUGGGAACCAGAAGUCCCAGUUGGCAUCCAUCUGGACUCCUGGGGGUUCCUGCCCCGUUGUGUGACUUUUAAAGAUAAGCUGCAGAGGAAUAACAAGCCAGCCAGCCCUUCCGUCCCCUGAUCCACCCCAGUGCACACAUUAGUGGGCACAGGUCAUCUACAAGACACUGCAGAGAGUGCUGUGGUCUCUGCUCCCCUGUCCUUUGACGACGGAGGACCACGUAGACCAAAUUCCCCAUGAAUAGGGGCGGCUGCACCGGAGCUGGGCAGCCACAGUCUUCAGUCCCAGUUUCCUCACCCAGGAAGGAGCUUCUGAAUCCUUCUGAACUGGAGGAAGCUGAGAGACCACCAGUCCAGCCGCUUUGCCUUAAUCGUGAGAAGGUGGAGGCUGAGGGUGCCACAUAGACAGAGACCAGGAUUCCGGGGGGCUUGGUCUAGUCCCUGCCCGCUUUCUUCCCACCAUUUACCGGCAACCCGUUAACAACAGCCCCUGCCAUGCCCCCUUAUGCCAGGCUCUCUGGUCUUCAAGUUGCUGUGCUCCUGGCGAAUUCCCACCCGUCCUUGAGGCUCGCACGGGGUCUGGGAUACACCCCCACCCCAGGCUGCACAGAUGCCACACAGACAGCGGUCUGGGCUUAUUCUUUCCCACCUCACCAGGCUGUGAGCUGUGCAAUGGCCUAGACUGGAUCUUUAGGACUGGGUCUCAGUGCUUGGCCGAGUCUGGCCCAUACCAAGUACAUGUUUAUGGAAUAAACGAUGAUGCCUUGUCCACAUCACAUAGCCAGUCUGCGGCAGGACUAGCCUAGACUCCAGAGUUCCCGAUUUCUGGGUCCUAAGCUCAUUCCUGCCUGAGUUUAGAUAUUUCACUCUCCUCUCCUGGUGCAGACCUCAGACCUGUACUCUGCAGGCAAAUGUUUAUAUGGACGGUCCCAGGCAGCCCGGAAGGGGAAGAAAUACCAGAGGAGCACACCCUGCUCAGGGCUGCCGCUCUUUCAAAGUCCAGGGAAUUGGGGGCUGAGACUGGACUCACCACUGAGCUCUUCAAUGCAUACAGAACAUUUCCUGUACUUCAAAAGGCUCCUGCUUCACAGGUAAGCCCUAUCUCAGAUCUUUUUUAACCACAGCUGGCUGAACUGUAUCCUUUCUGCUGUCAAUCUCAUGCUGUCACUUCAGCCUUCAAGGAGUCUCUGGGUCCUAAAGAAAGAGCCUUCAGAUCUGGACUUUAAUCCUGGUCCCGACACUUCCCCUCUCUGGGCCUCUUUUUUUUUUUUUUUUUUUUUUUUUUUUUUUUUUUUUGUAUUUGCCAGUCAACUGCUGGUUUGCUUACAGAUCUGUCCUCCCCUCUUCCUCUGCUGUUUUGUAUCACUGCUGGGAACUACAUUUCCCAGACUCCUUUUUCCUCAGGCUUCUGGGUAGUUUCAGCCAAUCGGAAGACAGGUGAGUGAAGGACAGGUAGGUGGGAGGAGGAAAGAAGCCAGGCUAUUUCUCUGUCUCUCUUUGCUUUUCGGACAUCGGAUAUCACCUGUGUUUGCCUGUGUUUCUUCCUUCCCUCCUUUCAUAAUCCCAUCUCCUGUCAGGCAGUCCCCACUAUUUACUUCCUGCCAAAUAACUCAGGAGGCCUCUGAGUCUAUGAUGCUUAAUUACCCUGCUGUCCUUCCAGCCCUAGAGAUGUAGCUGCUUCCUGCUUCGCUGUUUUCUGGGUUGCCUCGCUGUCCCCCGUUGGCUUCUCAUCUCUUUCAUCACCCAUGUACCAAUUUCUUGGGUUAACUUUCUUCCAUUUGGAAGACUUAAGAGUGUUUGCUGUUUCUAAGCUGGACCACAAUUGAUAAGUCUUAGCAAUAAAUGGUUAUUAUGCCUACCCAACCUUCUCCAGGAGGGUGAAGGAAACUCACAGGGGGAUCCAUGAAUUCUUUGUGGGCAGGGCGUUGUCUUGGUUUCUUUUUCUUUGUGUUCUUUGCCAGCUUUCUUGAAGCUCAUUUCCAUUGGGCAGCACCAGGGCUGGACUGAGUACCCCACAGAUUCCCAGAAUGUUUGGCCUUCUUCCGAGAGGACUGCUGAGAGAUCUUCCUUCCCAGAGGUCCAUGAAGAAUCCAAAAAGGGUGCCUGGUGGGAAUGGAUUCUUCUGGAUACUCUUUCCCACACAGUUCUUAGCCAACUGGUGCUCUCAGAAAGGGUCUGGUAAAUACGGAGACAUGUGUCAUGGGUGAGGGGGUCAUCCUUCUCCGGAGACUUUGCAUUUUCAUUGGGGGCCAUCCCUUUAAAUAAACCCAAAGAAUUAUCCAAAUGUCAGUUGUGCUGAGGUGGAGAAAUCCUGCCUUGACCCAAAGGAAUAAACUUCUAAUGGUGAACUUCUAAGCCUCCUGCCAGGUGACUAGAGUAGGAGUGGUAUGGAGGAGUUUUCUGGUCAUUCCCACCAUAUAAGUGCAGAUAGAAAGCCCACUGUUUUCCACAGUGGGCAGCCCAGUGUUGAAAGGCUCAUUAAUUCCAAGUAGUAAGAAUAAAGAGCUGCAUUUAA